ensembl:lncRNA
AUGGUGGAAGGAGCAGAAGAACCAGAAGAUCAGAGAUCAGGCAGAGAUCUACUGGUGCCCCUGUGGGAACCAAUUUACCUAAUGAGUCAACGUAGCCACCAGAUCCAGUCUGUAUCCAGAUCAGGUGGUGGAUCAGCACCUAGAGACCCCCUCAACAGCCCUGAAUGCCAGCGGAGACCAGGACAACUAGAUGAGCCCCAGAGACAGAUCCCCCCCAAAGACCUCGUCACCUAGACAAGCCAUCGGGACAAGAGCACAGGAAUCAGACCAGUUCUCUGUACAAUCUGACUUGUGUUGCAGCCUGCAAUUAAACUGCUGGAUUCGUCUGGCCAGAGAAGAACGAUGGAUUUUUGGUUCCUUCGACACAUGAUUUUUAUGUUUAAUACUGUAAAGCUGAUUUGACACAAUCUGUAGUGUAAAAAGCACUAUUUAAAUAUAGUGACUGGACUUUACUUGACUCAGUUCAGUUGAACUGUAACACCUGGUUCAUUUUUUUUCUGACUUCUGUCUCAUUUUAAAGAUGUAAUUGUGAACAGUAGUAAUAUUUGUAAAUGUUUGUUUGCAAACAUUUUUAUUUAACUUUAUUAGUCCUUUUUAAGUUCAUUAAACAAAUGUUUAAAAUACAUUUUUCAGUUGUAUUACAAAUGUAAUAUUUAACAACUAGAGCACUUUAAAGGGAUAGUUCACGCAAAAAUGGAAAUUUGCUGUUGACCCUCAGGCCAUCCCAGAUGUCAGUGACUUUUUUUUCUUCAGUAGAACAGUAAAGAAAUUUUUAUCUGAAAUGGUGAUACUUGGCGAUUCAUACACUACACAUCUGUGGCUGCCGGUUUUUCAUUGUUUAGCUUUAUACGGCCUCAAUGUGUCCUCAGGAGUCUUUGGUAAUUUGGUCUCGUCUGUAUAUGUUUGUUUGACUCUUAAAAGCCAGCAGCCAGAGAUGUGCAGUUUAUGAAUUGCAAUGUUUUCACCUAAAAAUUUCCUUUACUGUUCAACUGAAGAAAAAAAGUUAACUACAUCUUGGAUGGCAUAUUAGUAUUUUCUCCAAAAAAAAAAAAAACAAACAAAAAAAAACAAACACCCAACUGGUUUUAAGCUUGUUAUUUCUAUCAUUUGCUGUAGUGCGUCAGCUGGAAAUAAAAUUCCUUUUGCCAUUAAUUGUAAUAAUCCA